UACGUAGGGGGCGAGCGUUGUCCGGAUUCACUGGGCGUAAAGCGCUCGUAGGCGGUUUGGUAAGUCGGGUGUGAAACCUCCAGGCUCAACCUGGAGCCGCCACUCGAUACUGCCAUGACUAGAGUCCGGUAGGGGACCAUGGAAUUCCUGGUGUAGCGGUGAAAUGCGCAGAUAUCAGGAGGAACACCAGUAGCGAAGGCGGUGGUCUGGGCCGGUACUGACGCUGAUGAGCGAAAGCGUGGGGAGCGAACAGG
rnacentral:rRNA from 1 species